rnacentral:misc_RNA from 1 species
CCAAUAGCGUAUAUUAAAGUUGCUGCAGUUAAAAAGCUCGUAGUUGAAUUUCGGGACUAAUAUGUCGGUCGUGCCUCGGUACGUACUGGUAUUUUUGGUUUCUCCCUUCUGACGAACCUUGAUGUCAUUAAUUUGGUGUCUGUGGAAAUCAGGACUGUUACUUUGAAAAAAUUAGAGUGUUUAAAGCAGGCUCACGCUUGAAUACAUUAGCAUGGAAUAAUGAAAUAGGACGUUUGAUUCUAUUUUGUUGGUUUCUAGGAUCGACGUAAUGAUUAAUAGGGAUAGUGGGGGGCAUUAGUAUUCAAUUGUCAGAGGUGAAAUUCUUGGAUUUAUUGAAGACUAACUACUGCGAAAGCAUUUGCCAAGGAUGUUUUCAUUAAUCAAGAACGAAAGUGAGGGGAUCGAAGACGAUCAGAUACCGUCGUAGUCUUAACCAUAAACUAUGCCGACUAGGGAUCGGAUGAUGUUAAUUUUUUAAUGACUCAUUCGGCGCCUUACG